rnacentral:rRNA from 1 species
AGCAGCCGCGGUAAUUCCAGCUCCAAUAGCGUAUAUUAAAGUUGUUGCAGUUAAAAAGCUCGUAGUUGAAUUUCGGGAUUGACGUGAUGGUCAUGCCUUAAGGGGUAUGAACUGUUACUGUUGAUUUCUCACCUUCUGGAGAAACUUGAUGUCCUUUAUUGGGUGUCUUGCGGAUCCAGGACCUUUACCUUGAAAAAAUUAGAGUGUUUAAAGCAGGCAUUUUUGCUCGAAUACAUUAGCAUGGAAUAAUAGAAUAGGACGGCAUGGUUCUAUUUUGUUGGUUUCUAGGAUCACCGUAAUGAUUAAUAGGGAUAGUUGGGGGCAUUAGUAUUCAAUUGUCAGAGGUGAAAUUCUUGGAUUUAUUGAAGACUAACUACUGCGAAAGCAUUUGCCAAGGAUGUUUUUCAUUAAUCAAGAACGAAAGUUAGGGGAUCGAAGACGAUCAGAUACCGUCGUAGUCUUAAUCAUAAACUAUGCCGACUAGGAAUCAGACGAUGUUAAUUUUUUU